rnacentral:rRNA from 1 species
UACGGNCCGGCUUGAGUGCGGUAGGGGAGGCCGGAACUCCUGGUGUAGCGGUGGAAUGCGCAGAUAUCAGGAAGAACACCGGUGGCGAAGGCGGGUNUCUGGGCCGUUACUGACGCUGAGGAGCGAAAGCGUGGGGAGCGAACAGGAUUAGAUACCCUGGUAGUCCACGCCGUAGACGUUGGGCACUAGGUGUGGGGGGCCUUUUCCGGGUUUUCCGCGCCGUAGCUAACGCAUUAAGUGCCCCGCCUGGGGAGUACGGCCGCAAGGCUAAAACUCAAAGGAAUUGACGGGGGCCCGCACAAGCGGCGGAGCAUGCGGAUUAAUUCGAUGCAACGCGAAGAACCUUACCAAGGCUUGACAUGUGCCGGUCGGCUCCGGAGACGGGGUUUCCUCCUUGUGGGGCCGGUUCACAGGUGGUGCAUGGUUGUCGUCAGCUCGUGUCGUGAGAUGUUGGGUUAAGUCCCGCAACGAGCGCAACCCUUGUCUCGUGUUGCCAGCACGUUGUGGUGGGGACUCGCGGGAGACUGCCGGGGUCAACUCGGAGGAAGGUGGGGAUGACGUCAAAUCAUCAUGCCCCUUAUGUCUUGGGCUUCACGCAUGCUACAAUGGCCGGUACAGAGGGCUGCGAUACCGUGAGGUGGAGCGAAUCCCUUAAAGCCGGUCUCAGUUCGGAUCGGUGUCUGCAACUCGACACCGUGAAGUUGGAGUCGCUAGUAAUCGCGGAUCAGCAACGCUGCGGUGAAUACGUUCUCGGGCCUUGUACACACCGCCCGUCACGUCAUGAAAGUCGGCAACACCCGAAGC